rnacentral:tRNA from 1 species
AAAAAUUUAGUUAAAAAAUAACGUUAGCUUGUCAAGCUAAAAUUAUUAAUAAUUAAUAAUUUUUA